GCAUGGUGGGUUUCUUGUGUUGCAUGCCUAAUUGAUGGUAUCAUUUGAAGAAUUGAUGUCCCUUUUCAUCUUGUGUCGCACAUGCGAUGUGAGAUGAACCUUGAAUUAGACUUUGUGAUCCACUCUUUCGAUGUACACGCAUUGAUUUUGUGGCCCACUGUGUGUUGCUUGGUCUCAUGGAUAUGGAACCUGAUGUGGGCAUGGGAUCUUUACUAGUUCCUUGUUUGCCCUGGUUUAGCUUUUCUAAUACGAUUGUUUAUCACAUUUUAAUGUGGUAGGCUAUAUCGGAUAUGAAUGCUACCUGGUUGAUCCUGCC
rnacentral:misc_RNA from 1 species